GGUUUUAUAGUCUAAAAAAGAUAUUAAAUUGCAAGUUUAAUGAUGAUUAUUUUUCUAAAGCUU
rnacentral:tRNA from 1 species